AACUUCAGAAUGAAAAUAAAAAAAAGACCAAUUGUGAAGCAUCUUAAAUUACCACUGUCUACAUCGCACUAAAAGUUACGUUUAAGGUGACAUUGGCUUUAAGCUAAGAAAAUAACAGCAAUGUGUACAAGCUCUGCACACUAAAUUUGUCCUUACCCGUUCCCAUUUCCUCUGUUGGUUGAGCAGAAUGAUGACCAGCUUGGGAUGCAUCUGGUAGCCAUCUUCGCUGAAUGAGAGGUUCCGACCUUCAAACGUCACAUUGAUCAACAGUUCCAGAGAUAAGUGCUGAGCAAUGCAACACAGAUAAAGAGCAUACGUACAGUGACAAAUUUAACAAAGAAACGUGGCUUUAAAUCCUUCUGGUGUUUCAUCUGGAGUCAACACACACUUCCAGGGCUGCAAGAAGAAAAGACCUGGCAGGUGAUACUACGAAAACACAAAUCCCAUCAGCUGUAACAAGCAAAGGUUGGCAUUUUAACACAAUCACUUCCAAAGCAGAAACCUUCACUUAUUCUGAUCAUCUCUGAGUCAAAGUACUUGUGUUUUAAUUAUGGAAAAAUCUCCUUAAUAUAAAGUGUUUUUCACUGAAUUGUAUCUGGAUUAAGAGUACUGAA